GAUGAACGCUGGCGGCGUGACUAAUACAUGCAAGUCGAGCGAAGCGGGGACGGGUGAGUAACACGUGGAUAACCUACUAUAGGACUGGGAUAACGUCGGGAAACCGGAGCAAAACCGGAGAACGAAAGACGGAACCGCGAUGCAUUAGCCAGUGGGUAAGGUAACGGCUUACCAAGGCAACGAUGCAUAGCCGCCCCGAGAGGAGGAUAAGCCAACCUGUGACAGAGACACGGUCCAGACUCCUACGGGGAGCAGCAGUAGUGAAACUCCCGCAAUGGGCGAAAGCCUGACGGAGCCAAGCCGCGUUAAUGAUGAGGGUCGUCGGAUCGUAAAGCUCUGUUAUUAGGGAAGCGUUACCGAAUCAGAAAGCCACGGCUGACUACGUGCCAUCAGCCGCGGUAAUAC
rnacentral:rRNA from 1 species